rnacentral:lncRNA from 1 species
UUCAUUCACCUUUGGAAGGAGUUGCCCAUAUCUCUCUUGAUACUAACCAUCCACUCGUUUUUGUUAACCUUCCAUUAUGGUAAUACAUCUAUGUUAAUAGAUAUUAAAAACUCCAUACAGUUAAUCUUUUGAACCCGUUUCAAGCCAUGAUGCCUAAUCAACCAAUUUGGGGGUAAACAAUCUCGACUGCUUUGCUUAUAUUUACUUUCAUUUUAUUCUUGUACAUAGGAAAUGAGAUUCAAUCCCUUUAAUUGCAAAUUCAAAAGCCGUUUUAUUUCACUCAUAUAACUAUCUGGUUUAGUUCAUCAACCCGAAUUCUGAAUAAAAAAAAAGAAAAUAUAUAUAUUCAACUCAUUUAACUUUCUUACUAGAAAGAAAAGAAAUAGGGGAAAUUUGAUGUCUCACCAAAUCACACGUAGAGAUAUUGAUAAUACACAUAGAGUUAAUGAUAUUUCAUAACUAAUUGAUUGAGCAGCAGCUCUUAAACCACCUAAAAAGGACUAUUUAUUAUUUGAUCCAUAUCCCGACAUAAGAAGUCCAACGGGAGCAAGGCUUGAAACAGCGAUCCAUAAAAAAAUACUAAUACUAAGAUUAGCUAGAAUAAGGCGAUAACCAAAAGGAAUUACUGAAUAACUUAGUAAAAUGGAUAGGACUGCCAUGGAUGGUCCGAUACUGAAUAAACGAGUAUCCCUUCUAGAUGGAAAAAGAUUCUAUUUGAAAAGUAGUUUUGCCCCAUCUGCUAGAGCUUGAAGAAUUCCCAAGGGGCCGGAUCAACUUCUCCCAUAAUGAUAUCU